rnacentral:rRNA from 1 species
GAUGAACGCUGGCGGCGUGCCUAAUACAUGCAAGUCGAGCGAACGGACUUGAAGCUUGCUUCUCUUAUGUUAGCGGCGGACGGGUGAGUAAUACGUGGAUAACCUACCUAUAAGACUGGGAUAACUUCGGGAAACCGGAGCUAAUACCGGAUACUAUUUUUAACCGCAUGGUUCUAAAUUGAAAGACGUUCUUUCUUUUACUUAUAGCUGACUCCGAGUUGCAUUAGAUAGUUGGUAAGGUAACGGCUUACCAAGGCAAGGAUGCAUAGCCGACGUGAUAGGGUGAUAGGCCACACUGGAACUGAGACAGGGACCAGACUCCUAAGGGAGGGAGCAGUAGGGAAUCUUACGCAAUGGGCGAAAGCAUGACGGAGCAAGGGGGCGUGAGUGAUGAAGGUCUUCGGAUAGUAAAACUCUGUUACUAGGGAAGAACAUAUGUGUAAGUAAAUGUGCAGAUAUUGACGGUACCUAAUCAGAAAGCCACGGCUAACUACGUG